rnacentral:rRNA from 1 species
UACGUAGGGGGCAAGCGUUGUCCGGAUUUAUUGGGCGUAAAGAGCGUGUAGGCGGUUUGGUAGGUCCGCUGUGAAAACUCGAGGCUCAACCUCGAGACGCCGGUGGAAACCAUCAGACUAGAGUCCGGAAGAGGAGAGUGGAAUUCCUGGUGUAGCGGUGAAAUGCGCAGAUAUCAGGAAGGAACACCCGUGGCUAAGGC